ensembl:lncRNA
AUUUUAUGUAUCUCUUAACAAAUGAAACUAAUACAAUUUUAGGUUGUAUUAUAAAAAUGUGAUGUCCAGAAGACAUUAUGCGAUUAGCUAUACAGCCGCACCUGAGAUGUCCUGUUCAGCUUAGCUGCCCACUUUCUAAGAGAGGCAUAAGUAAGCGUGGAGUUCUCCUGAGGCAAAUAGAGUGAGAACGCAGGAUACUUGAAAUUGUUAUGGGAACAUUGAAUAUUUGUUGUAUCUUAGGAUGUGGGAGAGCAUUUUCUUUGAUGAUAUGAAGGGAUUUAUCAGGUAAAGGCCAAGACUGGCAUUGGUAAUUCAGAACAGAGACCUGAUCCAUAACCAACCGUGGAACUUGGAAAUAGGAAGAUUUUGACUCCAUGUAAGAAUGAAGUUUCUAGCAAAAUAAUCAAAGUAUUAGAAUGGGAUGCUUUUUAACAAAAUGAGCCUCAUGAAUCCUGAGAUGGUCAAAAACAGGACAGAAGCAAGACAAGAAGUUUAUUUAAUUACUGAGGAAAUCCUUUCAACUAUAACAUUCCAGAAUUUAAUAAGUAGCUAACAUAAUGAAUCCUUUAAGCUAUAAGUGGUUGCUAUUAAAAUUUUGGGCUUUCUUCCAUAACUCCUUCUCAUAUCAUCUUACUGCUUUAGUAAUUUGCUCCCACCCACUAGAGCAUGUGAAUUUGUCAUUCCUUUUCCUGGGUUUGUUGAAAUCAUGAACAAUAAUAUCAAUGACCUGAAAGAAAAGAAUAAGUACUUUUAAGGCAAAGGCUAACAUAUUGACUCAAGGAAUGCUCUCAACACCCUCAAUUGCAUAUUGGGACUUUCCAAUUUCUGACUUUCUGCCUUACUUUAUAGAAAUCACUGAAGUUGCAAUGCAAUCAACUGAAUGCAGUCAGUAGAAUGAAUACCUGGCGAUCAAGCAGCUGGUUGGUUAAUAUUUCAUUGAAUGUAAAUGGGUGCUUGAAACCUUUGUGGAAAAUGGAAUUAAAGGAUAAGUUCAGGGUAAGUGUUUCACACAGCAGUUGUGAUGCCUUUGGGAUGCCUGCAUGCCACACGGGAAUGCUUGGGUUUCAGUCUCUGCUUUGUUUCAGACUCGGCUUCCUGCAAAUGUGUACUCUGUGAGGUAGACAGUUGUGGCUGAAGGAGUUGGAUUCUUGCCGCUCAUGUGCAGAUCCAGAUUAAGUUCCUGCGUUCUGGCUUCAGCCUGGUCUAGCACUGACUGCUGCAGGUAUUUGGGAAGUGCAUCAGUAAUUAGGAGACCUCUCUGUCUCUCUGUCUCUCUGUGUAUGUCUGCCUUUCGAAUUAACUGAAAAACACAGAAAAGCACUUUUAAGGCCAGCGUCGGGCUCACUAGGCUAAUCCUCUGCCUUGCGGCGCCGGCACACCGGGUUCUAGUCCCGGUAGGGGCGCCGGAUUCUGUCCCGGUUGCCCCUCUUCCAGGCCAGCUCUCUGCUGUGGCCAGGGAGUGCAGUGGAGGAUGGCCCAAGUCCUUGGGCCCUGCACUCCAUGGGAGACCAGGAGAAGUACCUGGCUCCUGCCAUCGGAUCAGCGCGGUGCUUGGGUCGCAGCGCGCAGGCCGCGGCGUCCAUUGGAGGGUGAACCAACGGCAAAAAGGAAGACCUUUCUCUCUGUCUCUCUCUCUCACUGUCCACUCUGCCUGUUAAAAAAAAAAAAAAAGCAUUUUUAAAUAUAUGUCAUGGUGCAAAACAUUUUGAAAUUCAUGAGAAUUUUUUUCAUAAUACAUAUUUUCAUGACCUUUUUUUUGGAGAUACCUUAACAUUUAUAUGUUUCAUAAUUUUAGGUAUUCUUGCAAACACUGGAAAUCCUUUCUAUAAUAAAGCAGGGUGGAGGUAACCA